UACAUGGGGUGCAACCGUUGCUCGGAAUUAUUGGGCGUAAAGCGCACGUAGGCGGUUCGUUAAGUCGGAUGUGAAAGCCCUCGGCUCAACUGAGGAAGUGCACCCGAAACUGGCGAGCUUGAGUACGAAAGAGGAUCGCGGAAUUCCCGGUGUAGAGGUGAAAUUCGUAGAUAUCGGGAGGAACACCGGUGGCGAAGGCGGCGAUCUGGGUCGAUACUGACGCUGAGGUGCGAAAGCGUGGGGAGCAAACAGG
rnacentral:rRNA from 1 species